ensembl:lncRNA
GUCAGCAGUCAGGUCAGUGGUCAGGUCAGCAGUCAGGUCAGUGGUCAGGUCAGCAGUCAGGUCAGUGGUCAGGUCAGCAGUCAGGUCAGUGGUCAGGUCAGCGGUCAGGUCAGCAGUCAGGUCAGUGGUCAGGUUAGUGGUCAGGUCAGUGGUCAGGUCAGCAGUCAAGUCAGUGGUCAGGUCAGCGGUCAGGUCAGCAGUCAGCAGUCAGGUCAGCGGUCAGGUCAGCAGUCAGGUCAGUGGUCAGGUCAGCAGUCAGGUCAGUGGUCAGGUCAGCAGUCAGGUCAGUGGUCAGGUCAGCGGUCAGGUUAGUAGUCAGGUCAGUGGUCAGGUUAGUGGUCAGGUCAGUGGUCAGGUCAGUGGUCAGGUCAGCAGUCUGGUUAGUGGUCAGGUCAGUGGUCAGGUCAGUGGUCAGGUCAGUGGUCAGGUCAGUGGUCAGGUCAGCAGUCAGGUCAGUGGUAAAGGUCAGUGGUCAGGUCAGUGGUCAGGGAUGCUGUAUUUCCAUAGGGUACAUAAAUGUAUAAUGCAG